rnacentral:rRNA from 1 species
GUCUUAAAGUUUUUAUUUUAAGUUUAAUCUGCCCAAUGAUGAAUUUAAUGGCUGCAGUAAUUUGACUGUACUAAGGUAGCAUAAUCAUUUGUUUUUUAAUUGAAAACUUGUAUGAAAGAUUUAAUGAAAAAUUUACUUUAUUAAAUUAAUUAUUAUAAAUUUAAUUUUUUAGUAAAAAAGCUAAAAUUUUUUUAUAGGACGAGAAGACCCUUUAAAACUUUAUAUUAUUAAUAGUAUUUUUUUUUUUAAAAAAUAAUUAUUAUUUAUAAUAUUUAAUUGGGGUGAUUAAUAAAUUUUAUUAACUUUAUUUUAUUAUAAUUCAUUAAUUUAUGUUUUUUUGAUCCAAUAAAUUGAUUAUAAGAUUAAGUUACUUAAGGGAUAACAGCGUAAUUUUUUCGGAGAGUUCUUAUCGAURAAAUAGUUUGCGA